CUAUACAUGCAGUCGAGCGAACUGAUUAGAAGCUUGCUUCUAUGACGUUAGCGGCGGACGGGUGAGUAACACGUGGGCAACCUGCCUGUAAGACUGGGAUAACUUCGGGAAACCGAAGCUAAUACCGGAUAGGAUCUUCUCCUUCAUGGGAGAUGAUUGAAAGAUGGUUUCGGCUAUCACUUACAGAUGGGCCCGCGGUGCAUUAGCUAGUUGGUGAGGUAACGGCUCACCAAGGCAACGAUGCAUAGCCGACCUGAGAGGGUGAUCGGCCACACUGGGACUGAGACACGGCCCAGACUCCUACGGGAGGCAGCAGUAGGGAAUCUUCCGCAAUGGACGAAAGUCUGACGGAGCAACGCCGCGUGAGUGAUGAAGGCUUUCGGGUCGUAAAACUCUGUUGUUAGGGAAGAACAAGUACGAGAGUAACUGCUCGUACCUUGACGGUACCUAACCAGAAAGCCACGGCUAACUACGUGCCAGCAGCCGCGGUAAUACGUAGGUGGCAAGCGUUAUCCGGAAUUAUUGGGCGUAAAGCGCGCGCAGGCGGUUUCUUAAGUCUGAUGUGAAAGCCCACGGCUCCACCGUGGAGGGUUC
rnacentral:rRNA from 2 species